rnacentral:rRNA from 1 species
UACAGAGGUCUCAAGCGUUGUUCGGAUUCAUUGGGCGUAAAGGGUGCGUAGGCGGCGCGGUAAGUCGGGUGUGAAAUCUCGGAGCUUAACUCCGAAACUGCAUUCGAUACUGCCGUGCUUGAGGACUGGAGAGGAGACUGGAAUUCCCGGUGUAGCGGUGAAAUGCGCAGAUAUCGGGAGGAACACCAGUAGCGAAGGCGGCUCCCUGGGCCAUUCCUGACGCUGAGACGCGAAAGCGUGGGGAGCAAACAGG